UGGUGGAGCGAUCUGUCUGGUUAAUUCCGAUAACGAACGAGACUCUAGCCUAUUAAAUAGUUCGCCGAUUCCACUCGUCGGUGCAACUUCUUAGAGGGACAAGUGGCGUUUAGCCACACGAGAUUGAGCAAUAACA
rnacentral:rRNA from 1 species